rnacentral:rRNA from 1 species
AAGCUUGGGCUCUUUGCUGACGAGUGGCGGACGGGUGAGUAAUGUCUGGGAAACUGCCUGGUGGAGGGGGAUAACUACUGGAAACGGUAGCUAAUACCGCAUAACGUCGCAAGACCAAAGAGGGGGACCUUCGGGCCUCUUGCCAUCGGAUGUGCCCAGAUGGGAUUAGCUUGUAGGUGGGGUAACGGCUCACCUAGGCGACGAUCCCUAGCUGGUCUGAGAGGAUGACCAGCCACACUGGAACUGAGACACGGUCCAGACUCCUACGGGAGGCAGCAGUGGGGAAUAUUGCACAAUGGGCGCAAGCCUGAUGCAGCCAUGCCGCGUGUAUGAAGAAGGCCUUCGGGUUGUAAAGUACUUUCAGCGGGGAGGAAGGGAGUAAAGUUAAUACCUUUGCUCAUUGACGUUACCCGCAGAAGAAGCACCGGCUAACUCCGUGCCAGCAGCCGCGGUAAUACGGAGGGUGCAAGCGUUAAUCGGAAUUACUGGGCGUAAAGCGCACGCAGGCGGUUUGUUAAGUCAGAUGUGAAAUCCCCGGGCUCA